GACUGCGCUGGUGGUCCAGUGGUUAUAGCGUCCACCUAGGAUGCAGGAGGUCGUGGGUUCAAUACCCGCCAGAGUCA